CAGACAAAUGGAUAUGAUGCUGGUUGGCAGCUCUCCAACACCACGUUCUACAAGCCAUUACCCUCUGAUCCCACUGAGGGUUACCAAAAGAAACUACACCAUCUGCUCAAGAAACUCCCUGAAAAAGCACAAGAUCAAAUCCGCACAGACACACCCC